rnacentral:tRNA from 1 species
GGGGAGAUAGCUCAGUGGUAAAGCACUUGCCUUCUGUGCAUGAGGGUCUGGGUUCAAUCCCCAUCACCACA